CGGGGUGAGUAAUGUCUGGGAAACUGCCUGAUGGAGGGGGAUAACUGCUGGAAACGGUAGCUAAUACCGCAUAACGUCGCAAGACCAAGAGGGGGACCUUCGGGCCUCUUGCCAUCGGAUGUGCCCAGAUGGGAUUAGCUAGUAGGUGGGGUAACGGCUCACCUAGGCGACGAUCCCUAGCUGGUCUGAGAGGAUGGCCAGCCACACUAGAACUGAGACACGGUCCAG
rnacentral:rRNA from 1 species